rnacentral:rRNA from 1 species
ACAAGUACCGUGAGGGAAAGUUGAAAAGUACUUUGAAGAGAGAGUUAAACAGUACGUGAAACCGGUGGGGUGGAAACGGAUAGAGCCGACGUAUCUGCUUCGUAUUCAGCCGUCGAUGGCGUAUGAUUGCCGAUUGCCGCAUGUCGGGUGUAAUAGCCGGAUGUGUGUGUGGUUGGUGGAUUGUGCGUUUCGGCGGUGCACUUACGAGGCAAAGUGCGCCGAGUGGUGCGUGUUGAUCGUUUGACGUUGAGUUGCUAGAGGAAACUUGUUUCGGCGAGUGAAACCUGGCCUCGCUGAGAGCGUAUUCGGCGUGCAUUGGUGUAACAAAGGACGUGGUGUGUUUUUAGCACACGGUUGCCGGCCGAUUGUUGCUGUUGCGGAUCAUGGCGGUCGCUUGUCGAUACGCGUGAUACGUGGCUGUGAUGUUGGUCGGUGCCGCGCGUGUUAUGUGUCGUCCCGACUCGGUGUAAAAGCCGGUCAUCUAUCCGACCCGUCUUGAAACACGGACCAAGGAGUUUAGCGUAUACGCGAGUCAUUGGGUGCUAAACCUAAAGGCGUAAUGAAAGUGAAUGCGGACUUGAUCCGUUAACAUGUGAUCCGGCGCACUUUGGUGUCGCCGGCGCAGCAUGGCCCCGUUCUUGUCGCAUGCGAUGGGGCGGAGGUAGAGCGUAUGCGCUGAGACCCGAAAGAUGGUGAACUAUGCCUGAGCAGGACGAAGCCAGAGGAAACUCUGGUGGAAGUCCGAAGCGGUUCUGACGUGCAAAUCGAUCGUCUGACUUGGGUAUAGGGGCGAAAGACUAAUCGAACCAUCUAGUAGCUGGUUCCUUCCGA